rnacentral:ncRNA from 1 species
AUAUGUGCUUUGAUCAAGAAUAGUAACAUUUGAGUCAUCUAAAGAGAGCUGUUGCUAGCUGAAAAACAGUGAUGAUAAAGUGUGAACUCGCUUGUGAGCUUAUUACCCAAAUGGUAAUACGGUUAAAACCGUUAUAUUACAAAGUGAGGUCUUUUAUAAUCUUUAAAUUCUUUAAGAUUAUUUGCCUAAUUAGAGUGGUACCACGGAGUAUAUCCUUCGUCUCUUUU